rnacentral:lncRNA from 1 species
UGUUUGAAAUUAGGCCAGUGACACUUUUAUCUAAGUGCAUAAGCUAUGUGUGUUUGUUUGUUUGUGUGUGUGUAUUUUUGCACAAGAGGUGCAUGUGUAUGUCUUUCAAUGACUUUUAAAUGCUAGACAGAGGUCAACAGUAGCUAACACACAGGACCUCUCCGUAGCUAAAAUCUAGCUAAUCAUGGGAUCUGGUCUAUUAUUUAGUCUGAUCAGGACUUGACUGCAUCUGCCAUUCUCCUAAGGAUGUGCCAAAGAGUGUGUUUACUCCCUGGUCUCGCCUCUGUAAGCUGUUUACAUGGGACCUGUUCAUAGGGAGGAGCUCUGCACAGCUACGGAGCAACCAAGGCUCCUCAUUGGACGAGGGACAUGUAUCGGUGUACAUCUGGAUCCAGUGACUCCCAGUAUGUGAACCACAGAGUUGACUGACUGUUGCAGUGACAUACAUAAGCGGCCUUGGCUUCAUGGAACUGUUACACUACUGCAUUGUUGCACCCAGUACACGGACGCCCACAGAGGUUGCUAUCUGUCAGAGCUCUGUGAAGUAUUGGUGCCCUUAAAUCCAGACGCAUUACGUAUGGCCUCUGGUGGAACAGCUUCUAAACUGGGGCAACGCUGUCGCUCCAGCGUGUCUUCACAUUGCUUCAGUUUCUCCAAGCUGAACAUUGGUGCUCAUGAGAAUGGGAUGGUGGGGAUGGGGAGUGACUGAAGACAGGAGAAAAUGAGUGAUUGUUGUGUCCUAAGAUCAGAGGACUCUAAAUACUUCAGUCUUUAAAGGGGACCACUUUUGCACGUUCCGAUUUUUCUCCACCAGUGAGUGUUCACAUCGUGAUAGGGUUAGCCUCUGGCAGGUUUGUGACUGUGUUACCGUGUAAGAUGAGUUUCCGCUGGUGUUACAACUAAGUCCCCUUUAAGAUUGCCUGUGUGUACCCCUCAGCUGGUAUGACUGGCUGCAGAGGGUUGGUGUGUGUGUGAAUGAGUGUGUGGAGAGCUAAGACCAUGAUCUGAUGAUGAUAAUACAAAUAUUGAAGAAUUGUACUGUACACAAAGGGUUGAGGUUCAUGUGAAUCAGCUCCUGAACAAACAUUAAAUGUGAUUUCAAACUCAGCCACUUUUGAAUUGAGUCUUCUUAAAUGCUU